GUUGCUGAGAGGAGGACUGCAGGUGAAGGUGUAUGGAGCUCAUCUUCCCCGAUUGUCUCAGUGACCAAGGAGGCAAACGGAGCACCACAACGGACUUCCUAUCGACCCCUACAGUACAGCACCCGGGGCACGUGACCCCCCUAGUUACGGCCAUGGCACCUCCUCCAGGCCCCUAGAUCCCAGGUCUCCAGCAGCAUGCAGCACCUGACUACAUGUCUGCACCCGCAGCGUCGCUGUAAUACUGCUGCCGCCUGUAAGAGGAGCCAAUUACCAGGGACAACAAGGAAACAGCUUUUAGUAGUGUUCCACUAGAAGACCUCCUCUGGAUCACCUUCUUCAAUCAGGGGGGCUAUCCGAAGACCUUCCAUCACCGCUGUGACUCCGCCAUCCACCAACAGGAACGUCUGAAAGCCCACCUGAGGAGAGACACUAAAGUGAGACAUACUGUAUAUACCCCCCAUAUAUCCUCAAAUAAACCCAACUGUAGCUCAGUUCUCUAGGCAGGCCUGGAUACGUGGUAAGGUCACAUACAGUAGGGCCUCUGCCUAAAGCGGCCAGAUUACUGGGAUUACAGACAGAUGUUCACAGUCUACAUAAAUGUUUAUAAUCCAACACUUACUUGUGCUUUUGCAUAUAUAGAGCCUGAGUCUGAGUCGUGUCACGCCUGUAUUUGCAUCCAUUGAGGCAGACUAUGGACUAUUAUUUCAAGCAGCCUGGCCCAUUGCACAAGACGUGACACGGACACACCUACUUGCUACUUCGGACACAUCAUGCAACACUUUUG